rnacentral:rRNA from 1 species
GUCGCACGAGAACUCUUCUGCUUGCAGAGAGAUAGUAAAGUGGCGCACGGGUGAGUAACGCGUGGGUAAUCUACCUCUGAAUUGGGGAUAACAUUGUGAAAGCGAUGCUAAUACCGAAUAAUAUCCCGAGAACUUAGGCUUUUGGGAUCAAAGGUGGCCUCUACAUGUAAGCUACUGUUUAGAGAUGAGCCCGCGUACCAUUAGCUUGUUGGUAGGGUAAUGGCCUACCAAGGCAACGAUGGUUAGCUGGUCUGAGAGGAUGAUCAGCCACACUGGAACUGACACACGGUCCAGACUCCUACGGGAGGCAGCAGUGAGGAAUUUUGCGCAAUGGGGGAAACCCUGACGCAGCAACGCCGCGUGAGUGAUGAAGGCUUUCGAGUCGUAAAGCUCUGUCAAGUGAGAAGAACCUACUUUUUGUUAAUACCAUCAAGUACUGACGGUAUCACUGAAGGAAGCACCGGCUAACUCCGUGCCAGCAGCCGCGGUAAUACGGAGGGUGCAAGCGUUAUUCGGAAUUAUUGGGCGUAAAGGGCGCGUAGGCGGUCUUUUAAGUCAGAUGUGAAAGCCCGGGGCUCAACCCCGGAAGUGCGUUUGAAACUAAUGGACUUGAGUAUGGGAGAGGGAAGUGGAAUUCCUGGUGUAGAGGUGAAAUUCGUAGAUAUCAGGAGGAACACCGGUGGCGAAGGCGACUUCCUGGACCAAUACUGACGCUGAGGCGCGAAGGCGUGGGGAGCAAACAGGAUUAGAUACCCUGGUAGUCCACGCAGUAAACGUUGAACACUAGGUGUAGCGGGUAUUGACCCCUGCUGUGCCGCAGUUAACGCAUUAAGUGUUCCGCCUGG